rnacentral:rRNA from 1 species
GGAUGCGAUCAUACAAGCACUAAAGCACCGGAUCCCAUCAGAACUCUGAAGUUAAGCGUGCUUGGGCGAGAGUAGUACUGGGAUGGGUGACCUCCUGGGAAGUUCUCGUGUUGCAUUCC